rnacentral:lncRNA from 1 species
ACAAGACAAAAUGCAACGAACUCCCACUGUAUUCCUCUCUGGCAGACAUUCUGGGUUGCUACAUCGUUUGCGAUUUCCGUCUCAUAGAACACAGCAAAAGGUAUUCCACAACAAUAUAACUUGCUAUACCAGUUGCAUUUUCUAGAACGUCUUAUAACCAUUUGUAUGAUAUUUGAACCUUUGAAGAAGAAAUGGCAAUGUGAAUCUUUCGUGGAAAAAUGGUGCAAGAGAUGCACGAGACUUGGGCAAAAAGGAAGGCAUCUGAUACGAGAGAAAAAAAAUGGAUGCAUAAAGUGGAGCAAAAACAAGAAGAAUCAUGCAGCGAAAAAGCUAUCAAGUUGCUACUUGCAUCUAUGACCUGGAUAAACAGAAAACGAACCCAACUUUCUCCAUGGGAGAUGCUCCUUUGGAUAACGACCGUCCAUACCCAAAAAAAAAAAA